GAUGAACGCUGGCGGCGUGCCUAAUACAUGCAAGUCGAGCGAACAGACGAGGAGCUUGCUCCUCUGACGUUAGCGGCGGACGGGUGAGUAACACGUGGAUAACCUACCUAUAAGACUGGGAUAACUUCGGGAAACCGGAGCUAAUACCGGAUAAUAUAUUGAACCGCAUGGUUCAAUAGUGAAAGACGGUUUUGCUGUCACUUAUAGAUGGAUCCGCGCCGCAUUAGCUAGUUGGUAAGGUAACGGCUUACCAAGGCAACGAUGCGUAGCCGACCUGAGAGAGGGAUCGGCCACACUGGAGCGUGAACGCCGUCCAGGCUCCUACGGGAGGCAGCAGUAGGGAACCUUCCGCAAUGGGCGAAAGCCUGGCGGAGCAACGCCGCGUGAGUGAUGAAGGUCUUCGGAUCGUAAAGCUCUGUUAUUAGGGAAGAACAAAUGUGUAAGUAACUGUGCACGUCUUGACGGUACCUAGUCAGAAAGCCACGGCUAACUACGUG
rnacentral:rRNA from 1 species